UAAUUCUCAACUUGUGACUACCAAUGUUCUCUCAUGCUCCCAUAUCCUCUCUGCUAAACCCAUGUCAGUUUAUUUCGGUGAAGCUGAAUUCGUCCAAUUACUUCCACUUCUUAAUGAUUAUAAUACGUAUGAUCAUAUCUCUAAUUUUCUACUCCUCCACUGAAGAUGAAUGCUGAUGACACAACAACAAAUCCUGCCUAUCAAGUUUGGUAUCGUCAAGACCACUUUCUCAAACCAUUCUUUCCUAGAUCAUUGAUCUUCAAACUGUAAAAGCACCUUAGGACAAACUUACUACAUUUUUG
rnacentral:lncRNA from 1 species